CCUGCCCCUGGAGGCAUUACAGGUGUGGCUGCUGGGUCCAUGUGCAUUAGGAGGUGGCAGAGAAGAGAGAGGAAUGUCUACACUCAGUGUUCUCACCUAUGAACAUCUGAAUGAUUAGGAGCCUAACACU